rnacentral:sRNA from 1 species
AGAGUUCUAGCUUCAACAGUGUUUGAACGGAGCCCU